GAUGAACGCUGGCGGCGUGCCUAAUACAUGCAAGUCGAGCGAACGGACGAGAAGCUUGCUUCUCUGAUGUUACCGGCGGACGGGUGAGUAACACGUGGAUAACCUACCUAUAAGACUGGGAUAACUUCGGGAAACCGGAGCUAAUACCGGAUGAUAUUUUGAACCGCAUGGUUCAAAAGUGAAAGACGGUCUUGCUGUCACUUAUAGAUGGAUCCGCGCUGCAUUAGCUAGUUGGUAAGGUAACGGCUUACCAAGGCAACGAUGCAUAGCCGACCUGAGAGGGUGAUCGGCCACACUGGAACUGAGACACGGUCCAGACUCCUACGGGAGGCAGCAGUAGGGAAUCUUCCGCAAAGGGCGAAAGCCUGACGGAGCAACGCCGCGUGAGUGAUGAAGGUCUUCGGAUCGUAAAACUCUGUUAUUAGGGAAGAACAUAUGUGUAAGUAACUGUGCACAUCUUGACGGUACCUAAUCAGAAAGCCACGGCUAACUACGUG
rnacentral:rRNA from 1 species